rnacentral:sRNA from 1 species
UAGUCACGUUCUGUUGAAUAUAAAAUAUCUGAUCAUGUUUAAUGAACUGUUUAAAGUCGUGAUUUUGGUUCCCCCCAGAUGUCCUGAGAUUUCAUUACGUGAAGCAGUACUCCCUGUACAGUCUUGGAAUGAAGCACGCAUUCACCAUCCAGUCAGCUGACCACAGUCAUGACUACUUGAUGUUACUAGAAGAUGACAAUGGCGGUAUGAGGGUCAACCAGGCAAAGAUCAUUGAGAAAGACAUUAGCUCCAUCAACGGGGUCAUCCACAUCAUUGACGACGUCCUCAUUCCACCAAGAGUUCUUGUGGCUAUCCGCGACCAGUCCAUCGUCGUAGGUUAAUCUAGCCCUCCUGUAGGACCAGGGCAAACAGAUGACUCAAUCUUGACUUGUAAUUUAACCCAUUAUAAACAGUCUUGAAUUUCGUUUUGUA